UGCCUCCCGCCGAUCGUUCCUCUGCUCCACGCUGUUAACGUCGUUCUGCGUCCGGUCAACUUCACUACAAAGAUCUGGAUCUGCCCCUUUUGUUUCCUGCGCAAUCAUUUUCCUCCUCACUACUCCAUGAUCUCUGAGACCAAUCUCCCUGCUGAGCUCUACCCUCAAUACACGACUGUGCAAUACACGCUUUCUAACCCUAAUGUUAAUCCCAAUAUUCUCGGGAACGCAGCUCCUGCACCAUCGGGUUCACCUGUUUUCUUGUUCGUUCUCGAUACGUGCAUGAUCGAGGAGGAGUUUGGGUUCGUAAAAUCGGCUCUCAAACGCGUGAUCGGGUUGUUGCCGGAUAACGCGCUUGUUGGGUUCGUUUCGUUUGGGAUGCAGGCGCAGGUUCAUGAAUUGGGAUUUUCAGAUAUGUCGAAGGUUUAUGUGUUUAGAGGCAACAAGGAGAUUUCCAAAGAUCAGAUUAUGGAGCAGUUGGGACUUGGCGUUUCGGGCAGGAGAGCCCCUGUUGGAUACCGACAGAAAGGAAUGCAAAAUGGGUUUCCAAUUCUUGGCGUUACCCGCUUCUUAUUGCCCGCAUCCGAGGGCGAAUAUACCCUCAACUUUAUGCGUACUUGGUUCAGUUUGAGUCUAAUUUUGAAAUUUCAAAUUCUAAUGUCAUGUUUUUGUUGAUCGAGUGAAAUGGUUUUUUUAAUUAUUACCAAUUUUCUUCUAUAGCUUUUGGAUGAGUUGCAAACGGAUCAAUGGCCGGUUGCUCCUGGGAAUCGAGCUUCAAGGUGCACAGGAGUGGCCUUAAGCGUGGCUUCAGGAUUACUUGGAGCUUGUUUGCCUGGAACUAGCGCCAGGAUUAUAGCUUUGGUUGGUGGUCCAUGCACAGAAGGGCCUGGCACUGUAAUGCUUUCUUGUUCCCUAUGUUUUAGUUGUUUUUACAUUUAAUUUGAUCUAAAUCUUCCCUUUGGUCCUUUCUCUGAAGUUUUGUUUCACUAGAUCACAUAAUUAUAAAUUAGUUUCCCAUUUAUAACAUAAAUUAGUCCAUGCACAGAAGUUUUGCUUGCUUAGUCCUUUAGCCAUAUUAUGGGCCUCCUUUAAUGCUCCACUCUACCUCUAUCUUUGGAUUCCUAAUUAUGGCUACCAUCUAAGGUAUUUGGUGUUUUCAAUUUCUUAGUGCUUUAGGCGACACCCAAUACUUAUUAGUUUUGAGUCCAUGAACAGCGUGGUAAAUGAGUUUAGAGGCAGCUGAAGCUUCCUGGCCCUACUAUAAAUGUCACCACUAACAACAAUGUCGUCAUCAACGUUAGAAACAAAUUGGACGAGAGUCUUCUUAUGCAUUGGUCUGGAGUUCAACAGAGAAGAAGUUCAUGGCAAGACGGACUUCUGGGGACUAACUGUCCAACUCCUCCAAAGUGGAACUGGACCUACCAGUUUCAGGUUAAGGAUCAGAUUGGGAGUUUAUUUUACUUCCCUUCUCUUCAUAUGCAGAGAGCCUCUGGUGUAUAUGGUAGCUUCAUUAUAAAUAAUAGGCCUAUUAUUCCAAUUCCUUUUGCUACUCCAUAUGACGACAUUAUCAUUUUGAUUGGCGAUUGUACAAAAGGAACCAUACGGCUUUGAGAAAGGCCCUUGAUGAAGGGAAAGAUCUUGGAAUGCCAGAUGGAGUGCUUAUUAAUGGCAAAAGUCCUUGUCAGUAUAACACCACACUUGUUCCUGAUGGUAUUGACUAUGAAACUAUUGAAGUCCAUCCAGAGGCUUUCUGGAGCAUCUUUGCUAAUACUAGCAAAUAAGCAAGACCUAAAAGGUGCUCUUAUACCAGAUGAAAUUGCUAAGGUACUAAACCUGGAGAAUAUGGACAAAACUAGGCAUUGGAAAAUCGUGGGUUGCAGCGCAUACACAGGGAAGGGGCUGCUUGAGGAAUUUGAUUGGUUGGUUCAAGACAUGAUGAUACCUUAGGAUCUAGUCAACAUUAAGCAAUAGAGUUAGGGUUUUCUUUAUUGGCCCUCUUAGAGAACUGAUUAAGGUCCAUUUGUACUGUUUUAUUAACUAUCUUAUUGUUGUGGAAUUUAGUCAAGCUGUGAAUUCGAC